CUUCAUUGGGUCCAAGAAACGAAAGAAUUCGGCGAUUUUUGUCCUCUGAGUCUUAGGUUCCGGGAAUUGAGAUUGCGACUUCCGUCGAUGUUGUCCUGAAAUAC